UGACAGAUCGCUGUAGCGCCUCAGUUCAACAGACGCAGCAGCGCGAGGCGCACGUGAAUCGAUCAUCUCCUCCACAUUAAUAACGUUACCAGUUUCAGAACAAAAUAAACAUGACUAAACAUCCGAAGUCUGAGAUGGAACCUGGCUUCCAUACGAUCCUGUUGGAAUAUUCCUGUGUACAGCAGAGCACCGGAUUUUUGGUAGAUGGCAGCAGAGCGGCCACACGGAUCAACACUACAGUGACGAGAUGACGCAGAGAGAAGAAGUGAACAAGAGAGACAAUGUAAUGGAUGUAAAUAGCAGAUAGGAAACAGAGUUAUUAAAUAAGAAGAGAUUUUUGAACAAGAGAGAGAGAAAGACAGAGUGAGCAAGCAAGAAAGACACUCAUAUAUGACUUAUAAUGUAAAGUAUUUAAACAGUAUUAAUAGGCAGUAUUUAUUAUACUGCUUUUUAUACUUUGCUGUCAGUUAAGAUUAUUUUCUCAAUUAGGUUUUAUUCAGCAAGGACAGAAUUUAUAAGGCUACUACUUUGUAAUAAUAACAACAACCACCAAAAAAAUGUUUCUUGCACACCAAAUCAGCAAAUCAGAUUAAUUUCUGAAAGACCAUGUGACACUGAAGACUGCCAUCACAGGAAUAAAUUACAUUUUAAAAAUAUAAAAACAGAAAAUGGUUGUUAAAUUGUAGUAAUAUUUCAAGGUAUUACAGUUUUUAUUGUAUUUUCGACCAAAAACAUAAAAUAGACUCCAAACAGUAAAGCAUGCAUGAAUUAAUAUACAAUAAUUAUAAACUAAUGGUAAUGAUCUUCUACUGUCUAUUAUGACAAUAAGAAUGUGUCAAAUAAGCCUGGUUGCAUGAAAAUGUCAAAUAAAAGCUUUAUUUUAAAAUACAAUUUCUUAUUUUAACUCUGGAGUUAAAUGUGGACAUGUUUGUGAAAUUCACACAAACAUCAGUUAAAUAUAUGUUCUGUCAAGAUUUAUAUGCAUUGCUCAUUAACAGUACACACAAAUGUGCUAUUGUACAUUCAUAAAUACAACUUAAAUUAUGAACAAACGCAUGAAUAAAUCCAAUCAUACGAGGCUGCAGAUUGCUCUCGAAUUUCCCCUCCCCCAUCACACUUCCUCACUGUGGGUCAGACUGAAGCAAACAAGGGUCAAAGGUUCAACGAGUAUGUGCCUGUGUGUGUAGCAGCCGCUAAUCGCAUCACUCAUUCUCCCGGCCACAUUACUGAGCACAUUAAUGAACCCCUGUCCCACACCAGCCUCACACAACUAAUGAGUCCACUCAUUCGUUCAUUUCCGACUGGUCCUGCUGAAUGAACAGAAGACAAAUGAAUCCUGAACAAUUCAGCGGCUGUAAUGGACUGAGCUGACGUUAAACGGCCUGCUACAGAUUCAGUUCCUGUUUUGCUUCUAUUUAUUGGGGAAUAAUACAUUUGGGCCUGUUGCAGUGCAUAACAUUCAUCACUAAACAAAUUCUAAGAAUCAAUACUGGAUUAAAGUGAAGAUUGCUAUUAAAUCAUUAAAUAGUUUUGCUUGAUGCUAACCUUAAACCACAAGCUGUAGGA